rnacentral:rRNA from 1 species
GAUCAUGGCUCAGGAUGAACGCUAGCUACAGGCUUAACACAUGCAAGUCGAGGGGAAACGACAUCGAAAGCUUGCUUUUGAUGGGCGUCGACCGGCGUACGGGUGAGUAACGCGUAUCCAACCUGCCCAUCACUUGGGGAUAACCUUGCGAAAGUAAGACUAAUACCCAAUGACGUCUCUAGAAGACAUCUGAAAGGGAUUAAAGAUUUAUCGGUGAUGUAUGGGGAGUGCGUCUGAUUAGU